AUGAAGCUUUACACAGCGUUCACCAGCAAAUACCAUUUCGCAGGACGGAUGGAGCAGCUAUGUCAAUAAAACGACUGACUGAUCUUUCAAGACGGUGGAAAACAAAUUUUAUAUGAGCGCAAGCGCAGUAGACAGCUAUACCCUUCGACGCGUCAGUCGAUCUUGCGCCACCGAGGUGUACACUUCGAUGUGAAACAAUGCGGCAUGUGCACGUGCAUAUCUUGGAUAUUACUCUUGUCAGUCAUCUUCUUUCAUUCAUCUACUUGUUGUUUAAAUGAGGUAUACAUUUUAUUCUGAUAAUAUACACAUCCACUUAAUUAUAUCAGUUAAAUUACAGUUAUAAAAAAAAUUUAUGUUUAAAAAAAAUAUGCAAUAAAGGCGCAUGUUGAUUUUAUGGAAUAUAUUAUAAUUAUAUUGUACUGUAUUUAUAAAACCAACAUGCAAAUAUACCUGGCAUCAUUUUUGUACAUUUUUUUCAGUAUAUAUAAAAAACGAAUUCCUACAAAAGCUGUGAUAUCUAAUAACGCUAACUUAAAAGAAAUACAUAGAAAAGAUUAUUUUUUAUUAUCUAUAUCGUUUUUGUAUAUUUAUCAUAAUAAAAAAAAUCGAAGCAGAAAAAUAAUGUAUACUAAUAUGUAUAAAACAUAUUAAUACAAUAGUUGUAAUACCAGACAAUACCACCAAGAGGAAAAUAUAGAAAAGUGUAUUUAAUUAUAAAGUUGAUUAUAAAUUAUAAAUUAUAAGAAGGCUGCCAUCCUCUCACGAUCAACACUGCAGACAGAUGCUCAUAAAGACUACCACGACAAUGUUGAAAUGAAGUUUACUACUUUCCAAAUUUAUAUUGUAAUAUUUCAAUUUACAGAACAUGUAGAACAAAAAUAAGAACACUUUUAUUUAUAAAGUGAACCUUUGUGAUUAUCAAUUGAGCUGUAGACGGAUUUUAUUCAGGACUUGACCAUGAAGCUGACUGUUUUCACGAUAAAUAUCUCAGACGGUGUUUAUGACUUCUAACACGAAACAAAUCAAUUGACGUGCCAUCACGCGAUUGAUAAUUUUCGAAAGGUAUACCGUUUGCCUUACGAUCAGAAUAAAUAGACAGUAUAAAUAGACAAGCGACAAAAAGAAAGACACACAGUUACGGAUCUAGACAGAAAUAGAGAGGAAGGACUACAGAUAGAUAAAUAAA
rnacentral:misc_RNA from 1 species